rnacentral:rRNA from 1 species
UACGUAGGGUGCGAGCGUUAAUCGGAAUUACUGGGCGUAAAGCGUGCGCAGGCGGUUUUGUAAGCCAGGUGUGAAAUCCCCAGGCUCAACCUGGGAAUGGCAUUUGGGACUGCAAGGCUGGAGUGCGGCAGAGGAGACUGGAAUUCCUGGUGUAGCAGUGAAAUGCGUAGAUAUCAGGAGGAACACCGAUGGCGAAGGCGGCACUCUGGGACGGUACUGACGCUGAGACGCGAAAGCGUGGGGAGCAAACAGG